rnacentral:ncRNA from 1 species
CAAAAGCUUGGUCCCGACUUUACUAUCAGCUUAAACCUAACUUAUACAUGCAAGUAUCCGCAUCCCCGUGAGAAUGCCCUCAAUCCUCCGCCCGAGGACAAGGAGCUGGCAUCAGGCACACUUUACUUAGCCCAAGACGCCUUGCUACCGCCACACCCCCAAGGGAAUUCAGCAGUAAUAAAUAUUAAGCUAUAAGUGAAAACUUGACUUAAUUAAGGUUUAUUUAGGGUCGGUAAAACUCGUGCCAGCAACCGCGGUUACACGAGUGAACCCUAGUUGAUAGACACGGCGUAAAGGGUGGUUAGGGAAAAACCACAAUAAAGUUAAACACUCUCUAAAUCGUUAUACAUUACUUUGAGUUUUUGAAACCCAUUCACGAAAGUAACUUUAACACCCCCGACCCCACGAAAGCUAAGAAACAAACUGGGAUUAGAUACCCCACUAUGCUUAGCCUUAAACUUAGAUGUUUAAAACACAAGAAACAUCCGCCAGGGUACUACGAGCGCUAGCUUAAAACCCGAAGGACUUGACGGUGUCUCAGACCCACCUAGAGGAGCCUGUUCUAGAACCGAUAAUCCUCGUUAAACCUCACCACCUCUUGUUCCCCCAGCCUAUAUACCGCCGUCGCAAGCUUACCCUUUGAAGGAUUAACAGUAAGCGCAAUGAGCUUAAACCCUCAAAACGUCAGGUCGAGGUGUAGCUUACGAGGUGGAAAGAAAUGGGCUACAUUUUCUAUUUUAGAAUAUACGAACGGCGCCAUGAAACUGGCCCCUGAAGGUGGAUUUAGUAGUAAAAAUCAAACAGAGAGUCAUUUUGAAGAAGGCUCUGAGACGCGCACACACCGCCCGUCGCUCUCCCCAACCUAUUAAAAUUAUGUUAUUAACCACACAAUACAAAAAACGGGGAGAUAAGUCGUAACAUGGUAAGUGUACCGGAAGGUGUACUUGGAACAUC